AGGGGUGUGUCUGCGGUGUGCUGCAGAUGGCGUGUCAGCUGCCUAACGUUGCAUAAACAUGCUUUGUUGCUAUGAUUGUUAUGCAAUGUACUUGUGGAACAAACUAUAGAGUACCAUGAUCCUCCCUUCCUCUCCUUUUAGACACAGACCGGGAUACCCACUGAAGAAUGUCUCAUCACCUCUCCAGUUAUCCCUGGAUCGAUCCAGCCAUCAGCACAAGGCUCUAUCUACAUAAUGUACCUACAACACAGCACUUCUGAAGAAACAUCGUAUGCUUGCAACAGUUCUGUUUCACUAUUGAGAGAUCAUUAAAUAAUGGGGUUGUCAUAGUGGGUUAGGAUUGUAGGUUGAUGUGAUGCUUUGGUAAGACACAUUACCAUAUACUGCUGUUCCAUUGAUAGGCGGAAGACAUUUUAGCAUGAAGUUCAAAUGAAUAAAACUAGUAAGAGACAUUAUCCGCUCUUUGUGCUGUUAUUUUAAUAGAGGCCAUGGCAAGAUCUUUAGAGGCUGGCAUUCACAGACAUGAGAAAAGCAGGGAAAGACGGUCUCGGUUAAAGUUCCUGUGAAUGUGUGUUUUUAAUAGGGUCUUUCUCCUGUCCCUGUCCAGCUGCACUCUGAUCCUCUGUGGUGUCUGUC